CCACAUCAAGUUGAAAUACAGGUUCCCAUACGAUGACUGAAGUUAAGCAACGUCGAGCCCAGUCUGUACCUAGAUGGGUGACCGCUUGCGAAUACCAAAGGCUG